rnacentral:rRNA from 1 species
AAAUUGAAGAGUUUGAUCAUGGCUCAGAUUGAACGCUGGCGGCAGGCCUAACACAUGCAAGUCGAACGGUAACAGGAAGCAGCUUGCUGCUUUGCUGACGAGUGGCGGACGGGUGAGUAAUGUCUGGGAAACUGCCUGAUGGAGGGGGAUAACUACUGGAAACGGUAGCUAAUACCGCAUAACGUCGCAAGACCAAAGAGGGGGACCUUCGGGCCUCUUGCCAUCGGAUGUGCCCAGAUGGGAUUAGCUAGUAGGUGGGGUAAAGGCUCACCUAGGCGACGAUCCCUAGCUGGUCUGAGAGGAUGACCAGCCACACUGGAACUGAGACACGGUCCAGACUCCUACGGGAGGCAGCAGUGGGGAAUAUUGCACAAUGGGCGCAAGCCUGAUGCAGCCAUGCCGCGUGUAUGAAGAAGGCCUUCGGGUUGUAAAGUACUUUCAGCGGGGAGGAAGGGAGUAAAGUUAAUACCUUUGCUCAUUGA